rnacentral:lncRNA from 1 species
GCCUGAGACAAGGGCAUGGCCAUAUGGGGCUCUGCUAUGACCUAGGACUCAGCACCCUUGCAGAGCCCCCAGGAAGCAGUGCCCGUAGGCUGCCAGCUCGGUCGGCUCUCUGAAACUUCCCAGGAAGCCAUGGCCCACAAGGAAGAGAAUAGCAACCUAGGGGCAACCGUGGCAGCUCUGCAAGAAGCGAACGAACGCCCAGAGAAGCGGGUGUGGGAGAGUGGAAAUGCAGCUGACCCCUGAACAACGCAGGUCUCAACUGCCUGGGGCCACUUACAUGUGGG